CAACUGGAGAGAUCCAUCCGUUGUAUUACGAUUAUUUCGUCGUGAUUAUUAAAUAAAUCAUUGUAAAUAAGAAGAUUCUACCUAGUAAAAACAUAUAAAAGAUGACACAAGUUACGCGCAUGUUUUUACAUAACCUACAGCUUCGGAAUGAUAAUAUAGCCCUGCCUAACUAUGCAAGAACGAAACCCUACAAUGCUAGCAAGUCAAACUGCCUAUCGACCUACAGCCCUAGCCCUAGCCAUACCUACACAGAAAUUAUAUAAAUAGAUACAUAGGGCGGGAUACCUGCACCAUGAGACCUAAGGCAACAGGCGGAUAGUGGAAAGGAGAAGGUGUAGGAAGGAUUUUCUUACUGCCAAUCACACAGACUCAUGUGACCGUGGUUAGGCUAAAGGUGUCUUGGCCACAGUAAGAGGAUACUGAAAGUGACACAAAGAAAAUAAUAUAAGCAUGCACAGUGUGAUAAAACAAAAGUGACAUGGACAUACACAGUGAAAUUAAAGUGAAAUAAUAAUAAAUAAAACAAGCAGAAUAUGACAACUGUACUUAUUAUAAUAUGAAUUAAUAUUAGAAUGUUGAUGAUAA
rnacentral:lncRNA from 1 species